UUCCCGUUCUCCACUCCGCGCUGCUCCCUGCAGCUUACAUAAGCGCUGCGCACACAUGCAGUGCAUCCGUCUUCUGCUUUACGGAAGGUCCCGGCAGGACAGUGAAGCUGAAAUGCUACUAGAUGUCCCUUCCCCUCCCCUCGCCCCCGGAGCUGUCAAAUAGUCACGCCUUAAAUCAACAAAUCCAGCUGCAGCAAAUACCCUGUGACAGGAGAGAAAGGCGGCCGGAUCUAAGCCUGAAAGGAGAAAUCGGUCCUAAGGAAAUAGGAACACUUGGGAAGGGGGCAUCUGAGCAAGUGCUUUAACCUCUCGGCUAGCGCAGCGCUUCAUCUAAUCUGCUGGGACAACCUGCCAGCCGCAUUGAGUCGGGUAAAGCCAGCCAAAGUCAUCAGACCUACUUUGCCAAGAGAAAUGAAGGACAAACUGGUUUGUGCUGAAUCUUCUCAGUUACUACGGUAGACUGAUGUCAUAGCUGGAAAAUGAUCACAUGGAAAAAAAAAAGACUGCAUUUCUCACCCUCCCUUGGAGCUGAACUUGGCUGUAUGACUCACUUCUGGGCAAUGAGCUGUAGGAAGAAGUAAUAUGUACAACUUCUGCAAAAUGUCUUCAGGAAAGAAGAAACAUGACUUCUCUUUUCUCCUCCUGCUGGAUGGAAUUGUGAAAACUUAAUAAACAGAGACCUCAGUUAAAUAAAGUUGGGAGACCAGAAGGGGGAGCUCUCAUGUCCUGCAACCAUAGCACAGUCCAACAGGAAGAAGAAAGACUCCUCUUCCUUUCCUGCAAGGACUCAGCCAAUGAAAAGUUAUGGACUACUAUAGCACUCCCAACUUCCUUUUCCUCUCUAUAAAAGUAUCCUCCUUGCCUUUCCUUGCUAGGGACUUGCACAUUGCUCCUCAUAAUUGCAGACCCCGAAUUGAAAUUCUCUGCUGAUCCCAA